rnacentral:lncRNA from 1 species
AUUUCAAAAAGUAAAGGACGGCAGUACAGUUCAUUGUUUUUAUCUUGCAGCAACGACGUGUGAAGCAGGCAAUUGCGCCUUCUCAGCCUAUAAAUAAGCGUUGAAAUUGUUGCUCCUUGCAAGCCAUUUUUCAUAGUUAGGGAAGCUCAACUUUGAAAGAUAUGAUGGCUAAGAUACAAACACUGAGGUUUGUGACAGAAGUUGCUCCACCGCGAUUCAUUUCAGUGAUUAGGCGGCCCAUGAAGAAACUUCUGGCCACCAUUCAUGAGGAAGAGAGUGAAAUCACAGGCAGAAGCCUCCCUGCGUCUUUGGCUAAUAGCCCAACAGACCACGAGAAGAAACUGUGAACUCAGACUUUUGGCCUCGACGCAUAUUUUUAUAUUAAUUAGAAAAUAAUGAACCAGGGCAGUUUGCAGUUGCAGUUGCAGUUGCAGCGCUGCAGUGGCAUGCUAUCUUUACUAUUCUCUUUCGAAGGACAAAAUUUUCGUUCCUCAGUGUCUGCAUUUUAUAGACAAUGAUGAACUUGGGUCUUGAGGAACUUUAGUUAACGGCUUCUCGUCUACAUUUCAAUGUGUAGGGAGAACAGAGUUUGUAAUUUGUUUCUGUACCUUGCUUCUUUUCUUAGCAUAAUAAGCACCUGCAAUUUUACAGGCAGUGAAUGAGUAUGAAUAUCAAGGCUCUAGUUUUCUGAUGUUGUGCCUUUCAUUUAGAGACAUCAUGCAAACAACAAUACCGAUGUUAAAUAUUUUAAAAAGGUAAAAAAAAACUUUUUUUGCAUGGA